GUAAUGUCUGGGAAACUGCCUGAUGGAGGGGGAUAACUACUGGAAACGGUGGCUAAUACCGCAUAACGUCGCAAGACCAAAGAGGGGGACCUUCGGGCCUCUUGCCAUCAGAUGUGCCCAGAUGGGAUUAGCUUGUUGGUGAGGUAACGGCUCACCAAGGCGACGAUCCCUAGCUGGUCUGAGAGGAUGACCAGCCACACUGGAACUGAGACACGGUCCAGACUCCUACGGGAGGCAGCAGUGGGGAAUAUUGCACAAUGGGCGCAAGCCUGAUGCAGCCAUGCCGCGUGUAUGAAGAAGGCCUUCGGGUUGUAAAGUACUUUCAGCGGGGAGGAAGGUGUUGUGGUUAAUAACCGCAGCAAUUGACGUUACCCGCAGAAGAAGCACCGGCUAACUCCGUG
rnacentral:rRNA from 1 species